AAUAAUCCACACCACUCCAUCUUGAUGGAUUUGUUUCAGUUUUUGUCUUCUCAAGAUGUUAACUGAUGGACUGGAGUGGUGUGGAUUAUUUGUGAUGUUUUUAUCAGCUAUUUUGACUCAUUCUGCCGGCACCCAUUCACUGCAGAGCAUCCAUUGCUCAGCAAGUGAUGAAAUGCUACAUUUCUCCAAAUCUGAUGAAGAAACACACUCACCUUGAACAGCCUGAGUACAUUUUCAGUAAAUUGGGUGAACUCUAUUCCUUUAAUCCAUCAAGAACUGAUGGAAAUCCCAGUCUGAGAGGUUUCUAUUGGAGCCAAUCAUGUUUUAGAGUGGCAUAUUGUCAAUAUAAAACAGGAACCAGAUUGUUUUCUUAAAGAAAACUGACCUUUUAAGGGAUUAAACAUGCAUGUCAACAACAUGUACAGAUCUGAUGUACAAACCAGUUUCAUUUUGCAGUACAUUACAGACCUUAGUCAGGUGAAGGAACGUAUAAAUAUGAGACACAAGCAGAACAAAUGAGUGUUAAUAAUUCCAAUCUAAUAACGAUCAGUUUAGAGGUUCACUGCUGGUGUUUCAUGAAUUAAUUUGUUUAUGAGUGAAAUUAAACAGGACAUCUACCCCGACUAAUGUCUGUAAUUAUUAUUAUUAUUAUUAUUACAGUAUUUCAUGUUUUCAUACCUGCUGCUGCACACGAUUCCUCUAGAUUGAUGUGCCAGGUUGUUUUCUUUUAUUAUCAGCCUAGAAUUACAUUUUGCAGUAGUUUUUGUGACCCAAAAGGUCAGAGCGACACUCCUGAAAGUGUUUCAUCAUGUCUGAAAAUGAUCUUGAUGGCAGAUCUAGUCUGAUGUCAGUUUACUGUGAGUUUUGCACUGAUGGUUUUUAUUUUUUCGUUUCUGUUACUGUAUCCUCAAAGUUAAAAACUAGAGACUUUGUGGGAAAAAAAGCUGGUGAUGAAGAUGAAUCUUAGGAGGAUCUGUUACCGGUUCAUGAACACGCAAUAUACUGGAUUCAGCAAAUAACUGGUACUAAAAUGGCACAAAGUGACUUGAGAAUUGAAAUCGAACAGCCUCAGGUGUUCUUUUAUUUUCCAAACGAUAAAAAUGUUUACAUCUGUGUGUUUCCUUGUUCGUCAUCUGUCAUUUUUACUUGUUUUCCUUCGGGAUUCCACAUUUCUCAUCGAUGAAGACACAAAUGGUAACCUAUGAAAGCUGUAGCUUUGUGCGCGGUUUGGUUUGGGAGUCGUAGCUACACGCUGGAGAUACUGAAGUCAAUUUGUGUCUUGGAUAUCGUCGAUGAUGAGCGGUGUGUGUGAAUGUUCUGUGAUGAACGUGAGCACAAAAGAUAUUGAAAAGCAGCUUUGUAUAUCCAAAGGAAGGUCAUUUCUUCGUUUCUGGUUCUGUCCCGUUUUUAGGGCUCCCUCACCGGCUUCUUAUUGAGUUAAUGAAGUGAAGUCUCUUCAGCAUUUGGCAGUGAAGUAAAGAGCGGUGCGGGUAUUUUUGUAAAAUUGUACAAGAAACUGUUUGGAGAUGCAAAUGUUCAGCCUGUUGAAGUAUUUGAUACCAGUAAUGUAUUAAAGAUGUGUCAAAGCUAGCUGUAACAAUGCUGUUGCUCAAUGGAUUUUUAAUAUAUCAUGACUUUUUUUUUGUUUUGUUUUAUAAGCUAACAGUUUAAGUUAUGAAGUGCACAAUGUCUUUUAGAAAGAAAACACUGGAGAUGCAAUUUUGCGCAGAAGAAUAUGAGCUGUGCGUUAUGCAAGAAUGAAUCGCAGUUUGUUUGUACAAAAGUUGUGAUGCCAAUGUACAGUUUGUCUGAAAGGGGCCGAACUUUAACAAAAUGUGAACUAAACCUGUUUCUGUUCCUCUAGUCUGCUCACAUGCGGCUGCAUCACUGUAGGAGACGUAGACGGACUGCUCUAGAACCUGUGUGAGAUUUGUUUUGAAAUAUAUAUAUUAAUAUAUAUAUUAAUUUUUUUUUUUUUUUUCCUGUCCGAAGGUUGUCCUUAUGGUGAAGCAUUUGUCAUCUUCAGUUUCUUGAUCAAUAAAAAAUUGGUAUUCAUUCUGUGCACUUGAUCUGUUGUUGAUUUCGGUCACAAGAGGGCGCUGCAGCCUCACCAAAAAAAAAAAAAAAAACAUUUGAGCAACUUGGACAUGACAGUUUCUAUAUAGUGAGUGAUUUUAUUUAGUAUUAUUAGGCUUACUCUUGCCGUACUUAAGGUAAGUUACUAUAGGUGAGCAGUGUAAAAAUUUUAUCUCACCAUGUUCAUUAAUCAUGGCACAUCAAGACAUUUGUUUUUUAUAAGUUUUCCGAAAUAUGUUUAAAUGUGCAAAUUAUGCAUUAUCUAAUUAAAUGCGCUCAUUUGCAUAGGUUUCCAGAACAGAAAUCUGAACACUGGAUAAAGGUUUAAAUUCUUAUGUCUUUUUAUUGAUAUAUUAGAGUUAAUGUAACUAUGUAGGCCUACGUGUUUUGCCUUGAAAAAUCAUGAUUCGUGAUUUGAAGUUCCGAUCCGAGUUAAAUUAUUCGCUAUACCCGCUUUGAAAUAAAAUGAUUUGCGAACCCUCUCGGAAGUUCCAAUCUGGAUCAAAUGAUUCCCGAUACGAGUUCCGAUUCCAAAGUCCCUGUCUGAUCCAAAUGGUUUGCGGUACGCGAUUCGAUUCGAGCUUUUCAAAAUAGAGAAUCAUUCAGGAAACAGUCCUCUGUAAAAUGCGCUGCACACACUCUAAUAUUUGGGUUGAACUGUUCUGGAACAGUGUUGUAAAUACAACUUAACCAUUGAUUUCUAGUUGUGUCCUCUUUUGGAAGCCCAAACAAAGUAGUAUCGUUUCACAAUGAAACAGCGUCUCCAGGACAUGGUGCCGGCGGCAGCAACAACACUACAGAAAGAAUAAUAGUUCCGCCUUUCAUUGCGUAUACAUUUGGGCGGUGUUUUGCAAAUCUUCCCACACCGUGACGUAGACAUGUUGGGGCCUGUUUGAAUGAGCUGUUUUUGGGGGGCGUGGUCGAGUCUUAACUUUUAUAAAGAAUAUCUCUUUGGAUUUGAGACUUCAGGGAUCUUAUCAAUGCACAAACAGCUUGCAACACUCCAAAGAGAAAGGAAAACUUGAAAUCGCAUCAUAUGACCCCUUUAAAGUCUCUCAUAUACUUACUUCGGAGCGGUUCUCUUUUUAAUAGAGAUAUAAGAUUAAUAUAAUUUCCAUCAGUAAUUCUGACAAUGACACAUUUGUACCUGGGAGUUGUGCAGUUUCCCUGUAACUUCCCCUGUGUCUGUCAUCUGGUUUUCAGUCAGACCACAUGAGCGUCAGGUUUUGUAGCAACAUUUGGUUUCAACCUCAGACAGCAUGUGCAGACUGUCUAAUUACACAUGACUUUGCAAGUACAAUAUAAUAUUUAAUCCGAUCCCCUAAAUCAUUACCCAACAUCUGAGUUUGAAUGCACACGUUCAUAUCAGUCAAUCUGCAUACAAAAACGUGUUUACAAAGAACCAGACAGCUACACAAAGUGCUUUUGAGGAUCAAAUAAUGAUUGAAUUUGGCAGGUUUAUUGCUUCCAGUCUUCAAAAUAUACUCAGAAUGUAUAAGAAGCUGAGUUACAGCUAUAAUAUGUUAAAUCUCUGUUAAUUACAUUUGGAAAGACAAAUUGUGACCGCAAAGUCUGCUCUCAUAUCUGCUGUUUCUCAGGUGUUUGAGGGCCAACGUCACUGUGUAAUUUUUUUGUUCCUCACUGGUUUGUUUUUUGGUAUCAAGUAGUAUUGUAGCCAAGACGACCUAAUCCAAGCCCAAGACAAUUGUGUGUUGAGACCAAGACAAGCCCAAGACCAAGGCAGGUUGAGAACCAGCACUGCUCAAAUCUGAAGGAUCCACAUUUACUGCCUGAGAAAUGCCUUAUUUUUAAUCAUUAAAUACAAUAAUAAGACCCUUACAGAGCUGUUACCUAUCAAAUGAAAUCUCUAACAAUAAAAAUCUUGCACUGCAGUGAUGGCACAGAAGCUGCAUCUGAAUUGGUACAAUUACAAAUGCGUAAAUAAUGUUAAAAAUUGUUUACUGAAUGUUUUUUAAAAGCAAUAUUUUUAUUUAUUUAUUUUUUCAGAACAGUUCUCUUGCUCGUGAUAUUGCUUAAAGGGGUCAUCGGAUGUCCAUUUUCCACAAGUUGAUAUGAUUCUUUAGGGUCUUAAUGAAAAGUUUAUAACAUAGUUUGGUUAAAAUUUCUCAAUGGUAGUGUAAAAACACCCUUUUUAUCCUGUCAAAAUCAGCUAUGUUUUGAGCAAGCCAUUCUAGUCCAUGUUGCUUAAAAUGCUAAUGAGCUCUGCUGACCCCGCCCCUCUCUUCCAUGGGGCGAUGAUCAGACUGUAAACUUCAGCCAUGAAACUGGCUAACUAGCACAUUAUUAGGAAAGGUGAUUUGCAAAGAUUCAUAAAAAACACUUAUACUCACUUCUUCUGUGGAUGAAGUUGGAUCACAAAUGAUUCGCACGAACAUAGAUCAGGGAUCAGCGCAUUCCCUUCAAAAACUAAAGUAAUGUUAAUACUAAAGUAAUGAAAUAACUCAUUCAUUAUUACAUACAACAACAGAACACCUCAAUCGCUCAAUCUGAGACAUCUUAUCUUCCCUGCACCGGAGGCGGACAGCUCUCAGCUCACUCAGGGCGGGUCUAAGGUAAAACGGACUUGUCAAUCAACUAUCGUGGGAGGGGUUUGUGCAGAACUACGUCAUUCUGACAGGAAUCUCAGAACAGCCUGAUUUGAGAAAGGGGAUUUUAAAAUAGGGAUUAAAAAAAACCACUGGGUGAAUUUUUAUCAUUAUAGGAUGGAUGUGUACACACACUUCCAACACACAUUUAUGAUCAAACAACUUGUAAAGUGAAUUUUGCAUCCGAUGACCCCUUUAAUUAUAUCAUAUUAUAAUAUAAAAAGGGAGAGCACUUAUACUCUCAAGCACUUUUUUUGCAACAAUAUCUUGAAUUUUGUGGGUGUAUGUAUUCAUUUUGGUGACAUUUUUGAGACGGUCCAGCAUUAAUUUCUGACCCGACAUAACAUUAUAAAUCAUUUGUUCUCAGCCAGGGGCUGGGGCCCACUAUGGGGCCUCAACAAACUUCCAAGGGGGCCUUAAAGAGGACUUAAAAUUGUUUAAAAUAAAACAAAACAAGCAUUAAAAUGAACUAAAACAGGUAAAAAUCAAAGGUAUUUGUUAAUAGGGGGGCAGUGAAGUCAAACAUUUUGAGAUCCACUGGUAUAAAUCAAAUGAUUUAUUUUUGUUAUUUAGUUAUUUAAUUAGUUAUUGAUUGCAUUUGAAGCAGGAGGUUUUACAUCUAAUCACAUUAAUGAUUGUUGUAAAUAAAUCCGAUAAUUUAGUGAUAUCCCCGCAGUUGUGUUCUUGACCGGGUUUCAAACUAAAUCCUGAGUCCUCUUAGUCUGAGACCAAGACAAGACUGAGUACAAAUGAGGUCGAUACUGAGACAAGACCAAGACCAUCAAAAAAAAUGGUCUUAAGUCCGGUCUCAAGCCCAAGACCAUACAACACUAGUAUCAAGUACACUGUAAAAACCUGUUAAGCUGCAAACUGUUGUGUUCUUGUAUUACUGAUUCACCAGAAGAGGGCACAAUGGGUUACCUAUAAAAGGUGUAGAAGAACAAUUGAAUGUGUGCAGCCAUGUGGCAUGCAGGCUGUGUUUGCUGUUGGCCUUUGAUACUAAUACAUCUUUGAAUUGUAACUUCUGGAAUCUGACUCUUCAUGCUUACCUGGACUCAAAACACUACAAAAUUGGCGACGAGGAUUUUACCUUUAUGAAUGAAAGAUGGCUGUAGUUGCUUCAUUUCCUACGCCAUUCUUGCCAUGUCCUGGUGAGCCUUCGAUACCCUUUGAUGUUUGGCUAAAGAUGCUCAGUAAUUAUUUACUGGUCGUUAAUGCAUCCGGAGAUGAAUGGCCUGCUGCACGAAAGAGAGCUCUUUCUUCAUUGUUUGGGCACAGAAGAUCCUUCAACUGCUCCUGAAAGAGUUUCAGCAUGUGUAAGACGACAUCCACGUUGGCUGCAGGAUUAUGUUACUUAAGUUUUAAAAGUAACUACUACUAAAGUGGUGCAUUGUUCCAUGGGUAUAUUAAGAAUCAGUUAUGCUGUAUUGCUAAGCUAUUCAUCAAUAUGUACUUUACUGUGAAUAAUACGGAACUAUUGUGUUGACUUUAAAUUUUGGUUUCCGUGAGGAAUGUAUGAUUUAAGUAAUGGGGGAAUAUGUUGUGUUCUUGUAUUACUGAUUCACCAGAAGAGGGCACUAUGGGUUACUAAGUUGGUACUUAUAAAAGGUGUAGAUUGUAGAAGAACUAUUGAAUGUGUGCAACCAUGUGGCAUGCAGGCUGUGUUUGCUGUUGGACUUUGAUGCUAAUAAAUCUUUGAUUUGUAAA